UUCGACUAAGGUUCGACUCGAGCGAAGCGAGAGAACGUUGCCGCAGGCAACGGCCCGAAGGGCGAGGCGCUUUAGCGCCGAGUAAUCCUUCCCCCACCACCA
rnacentral:sRNA from 1 species